AUUGAACGCUGGCGGCAUGCCUUACACAUGCAAGUCGAACGGUAACAGGUCUUCGGAUGCUGACGAGUGGCGAACGGGUGAGUAAUACAUCGGAACGUGCCCGAUCGUGGGGGAUAACGGAGCGAAAGCUUUGCUAAUACCGCAUAAGAUCUAAGGAUGAAAGCAGGGGACCGCAAGGCCUUGCGCGAACGGAGAGGCCGAUGUCAGAUUAGGUAGUUGGUGGGAUAAAAGCUUACCAAGCCGACGAUCUGGAGCUGGUCUGAGAGGACGACCAGCCACACUGGGACUGAGACACGGCCCAGACUCCUACGGGAGGCAGCAGUGGGGAAUUUUGGACAAUGGGCGCAAGCCUGAUCCAGCCAUGCCGCGUGCAGGAUGAAGGCCUUCGGGUUGUAAACUGCUUUUGUACGGAACGAAAAGACUCUUUCUAAUAAAGAGAGUCCAUGACGGUACCGUAAGAAUAAGCACCGGCUAACUACGUGCCAGCCGCCGCCGUAAGAC
rnacentral:rRNA from 1 species